rnacentral:rRNA from 1 species
AUACGUAGGGGGCAAGCGUUGUCCGGAAUUACUGGGCGUAAAGAGCUCGUAGGCGGCUCAGCAAGUCGGUCGUGAAAGCCCGAGGCUCAACCUCGGAACUGCGGUCGAUACUGCUGUGGCUAGAGUCCGGUAGAGGAGAGUGGAAUUCCCGGUGUAGCGGUGGAAUGCGCAGAUAUCGGGAGGAACACCAGUGGCGAAGGCGGCUCUCUGGGCCGGUACUGACGCUGAGGAGCGAAAGCGUGGGGAGCAAACAGGAUUAGAUACCCCAGUAGUCC